rnacentral:rRNA from 1 species
AUGAAAAAAGAACCACCAAUUGGCCACCCGCUCAAGGGUGCAGCAUUGAAGCAGCUGACGUGCGCCAGUAGUCAGCUACUCCUGGUGAGGGUGUUGGUUGUGGAAGUGAGUCCAAGGGUUGUUCGUGCGGGUGCUAGUGCCGGUGUCGGGCGAGGGGGAUUCACUCGCGCUAGAGAACAAGGGUUUAGAGGGAUGACUGGGGUGGUGGCGGGUCGGGCAGGGCAAAGCUAUUUGAGUACAAAAGACUGGAUCACUGACCUGGAAGAUCUGUUUGGGGAUCCAGCUAGCUACUCGAGGAACAUCCAAGUAGACGAGAGGCGCAGGAAGAUAGUAAGAUUGGAUCAGGUUGGGGUUGCAUACGUCGAAAGGAGGAGAGGUCUUGGGGUUGCAUACAUAGAAAUGAAGAGAGCUGCAAGACGAGACGCCUGUUUGACAUACGGCGUGCAUAAUUUGACUACGUACAUGGAGGUGCAUGUGGUGGGCCUGGAGCUAACCGCCCCCGUAUUGUGGACGUGGCCAUCCAUGCGGCACGUCGCCAAUUUUUUUACGGAGGUUGCCAUCUGCGCGGGAGUUCUGGCCGAAGCGGCCUUCGCCGUCCGGGCCAUCCUCCUGGAAUCCGUGGGGCUGUUGUUAGUCGUAGAUGAGGUCGUGGUGCACCCACCCAUGGCGGAGGGUGCUAUUGGUGGCCGCCUACCCGAUGAUCAGUUAUUGCAUGGUGGUCGUCUGGAUGGUUUUCACCCCGCUGGCUCCGCAUCUGCUGGUAAUUCUUCGUCUGGAUCUGAUAGUCGGGCCGCCACGGAAUUUGUUGUUGAUCCUAUUUUUGGUUGUCCGACUGUGUUUCCUGGAGUGGCCGCUGGUGAUACGGGAGAGGGUCUCUUUCAAGGUUUUGGCCUUUGUACGGGAGUGGUAUACCAUCGUAUCAGUUCACUUCUACCUGUUGGAGGCUCUUCUCCCAAAUUUGCACAGUUAUAUAUGGUGGACUCUGCUGAUGAGGUUAGGAGCAAAAUUAAUGUAUUUGAUAGGGAAGGGAAUGGUUCUCUUGAGCCUGAUCCUCAGGUUGUGUCGGCGCUUAUUCGAAUGUUGAAUAUGCGUCACCAUUUGGUCCAUAAAUUUAGAAUUGUUCGGGAGAGUUUAUGCAGUCCUUACGUAUCCAAGCUGUCUAUACAGUUAUUGAGUGGUGAUGGUGGUCCUCAUGGUACACGUUUCUCUGGACUUACUACUUCAGAGGUUGCUGCACUUAUAGUGGGUGAUUUGACUCCUGAGUGUAGGAGGUUUGAUGUUGUUGCCGAAACAAUUCUGUUGAUGCAAGUGUGCCAGUCGUUGAUCAAUUGGAUGAUGAUGAUGGUAAUAGUUCCCGAGGAUGUUAGAGCUUCCCGUGGAGAAGUUACUAUGUUGGAGUACUACAAUUAUUAUUUUCAUUGUCGUGAGCGUGAGGUGAACCCAUAUACAAGUUGUGGUCAUCUAAGCCAACAAGUGGAUGUUAAUGCAUACUCAUGUGUUGAAUCUGAUCGUUUGGAGUAUCAUUUUCGGAAGCAAGAUAAACUCCGUUCAGAGACUUAUCAGGGUGUAUCUCAUGCAAUUGGUGAAGGUAAUUCUACAGGAAAGUAUAUUGGUGUUCAGUUUAUAUUGCAUGGCAGUUUUACUGGUGGCCAACGUUACGUGUUGCUAAAUUAUCAUGAUGGAAUGGCCAUAUGUCGUGAGUAUGGUCCUCCUGAUCUAUUUGUUACAUUUACAUGCAAUCCUAAGUGCCAGGAGAUUGCCGAUGCUCUUGCUGCUGAGCCUGGACAGAGUGUUGCUGAUCGACCAGACAUUACUACUCGAGUAUUUAAUAUGAAGUUUGAUGAAUUUUUGGAUGUGAUGAUGGUGGUCCUCAUGUAUCAUUUUCGGAAGCAAGAUAAACUCCAUUCAGAGACUUAUCAGGGUGUAUCUCAUGCAAUGGGUGAAGUUCCACUGGUGGCCAACAUUACAUACAUGUUGCUAAAUUACCAUGAUGGAAUGGCCAUAUGUCGUGAGUAUGGUCCUCCUGAUCUAUUUGUUACGUUUACAUGCAAUCCUAAGUGGCAGGAGAUUGCCGAUGCUCUUGCUGCUGAGCCUGGACAGAGUGCUGCUGUUCGAUGA